GCCAAUGUGGUGUAGUGGUUUGAGUGUUGGACUACAACUCUGGAGCUCAGGGUUUGAUUCCCAGUCCAGGCA
rnacentral:tRNA from 1 species